rnacentral:rRNA from 1 species
CUACGGGGGGCUGCAGUGAGGAAUAUUGCACAAUGGAGGAAACUCUGAUGCAGCAACGCCGCGUGGAGGAUGACGCAUUUCGGUGUGUAAACUCCUUUUAUAUGUCAAGAAAAUGACGGUAGCAUAUGAAUAAGCUCCGGCUAACUCCGUGCCAGCAGCCGCGGUAAUACGGAGGGAGCAAGCGUUACUCGGAAUCACUGGGCGUAAAGGACGCGUAGGCGGGAUAGAAAGUCAGGUGUGAAAUCCUAUGGCUCAACCAUAGAACUGCACUUGAAACUUCUAACCUAGAGUAUGGGAGGGGAAGAUGGAAUUAGUGGUGUAGGGGUAAAAUCCGUAGAUAUCACUAGGAAUACCAAAAGCGAAGGCGAUCUUCUGGAACAAUACUGACGCUAAGGCGUGAAAGCGUGGGGAGCAAACAGGAUUAGAUACCCUCGUAGUC